rnacentral:sRNA from 1 species
AGCCCACGAACGGCCGCGAAAAGCUGCCGAGGCUGAACAUGUCGACUUCCUGGAAGCUCAUCACGACAUUGUAGACAAGCGGC